rnacentral:rRNA from 1 species
GUGGGGAAUAUUAGGCAAUGGGCGAAAGCCUGACCUAGCAACGCCGCGUGAAGGAAGAAGGCCUUCGGGUUGUAAACUUCUUUUAUGAGGGACGAAGGACGUGACGGUACCUCAUGAAUAAGCCACGGCUAACUACGUGCCAGCAGCCGCGGUAAUACGUAGGUGGCGAGCGUUGUCCGGAUUUACUGGGUGUAAAGGGCGCGUAGGCGGACUGGCAAGUCAGAUGUGAAAUACAGGGGCUCAACCCCUGAACUGCAUUUGAAACUGUUGGUCUUGAGUAUCGGAGAGGCAAGCGGAAUUCCUAGUGUAGCGGUGAAAUGCGUAGAUAUUAGGAGGAACACCAGUGGCGAAGGCGGCUUGCUGGACGACAACUGACGCGGAGGCGCGAAAGCGUGGGGAGCAAACAGGAUUAGAAACCCCUGUAGUCC